GAAGCAAAUUCACACCAUUUAAUCCUCUCACCCUGGGAUUCCUUCCACCUGAAAUAAAAAGCAUCCAAUUUCAUUAGAUUUCUGUAUUCUGGUGGUAUCACUCCCUCAGCUGCUAUAAAACAAGUUGUCAUUUCUACCAAAGGUUAGGGACCCUCUAAAUAAAGUAAGGCACCCCCAAGCUGCUGGGGCUCAGUCCACUGACUGCACAUUGAAGUAGCAUGGACCUAUCCUUCACUGAGAAACUGGAAUUUUCCCUCGGAGAUUUUUUCUCUGGUAGGGCUCCGGGAUAUUUACCUGGGAGAGAGAGGAAGUCCCAGACCAUGGGAGGUUUAGCUUUGAUAAAAUCCAGCCAGAGGCACAAUCUGGAAAUCCUCUAGGUCUUUAUUUGUUCCCCCAGGCUCCUGCUUUACUGUACCAUUUGUCUGGUACAGUAACAAAACCCAAGUCCCCAUUUCCAGGUUUCCCCUUGGCUCUAAAAACCUGUAUUCAACAGCCAAAUCUACCUUGUGUGAGAUCUGUGAAAGGUCCUUAUAAAAGAAGCACAUGCAAAUGGUGUUGCCCAAUUUCCUGCUUAACACAUGCAAGGUUCCUCCUUAAACACCAGCCCAGGCUCUGUGCACCUCAGUGUCCCCCAGAGCCGCCACCUCCCGUCUGCUGGGGACACCGGGCAUCAGCCACAAUGACCAUGACACCAGCACUGGCUUUGCUCAUCGUUCUGGCAGCUCCACUGGGUAUCCUGGCCCAGGUCAUGCUGAAGGAGUCCAGCCCAGGGGUUGUGAAACCUGGAGAGACCCUCAGCCUGACCUACACUGUGUCUGGAUUCUCUCUCACUAGCUAUGAUGUGCAGUGGGUUCGGCAGGCAGCAGGGAAAGGGCUGCAGUGGGUCAGAGUUAUCUGGAGCGAUGGAAGCACUAACUAUAACAGCACUCUCCAAAGCCUCCUCACUGUCAGCAGAGACAUGUCCAGCAGCCAAGUGCACCUGCGCCUGACCGGGGUCCAACCUGUAGACACAGUCCGGUAUUACUGUGCCAGGGACACAAUUUAUGAAAAUGCAUGAGAGCGUGCACAAAAACCAGCCCUGCAGGACCUGCCCUGCCUGUGUGAGCAGCAGAUAGCAGGUGCCAGCCCCAUGCUCCACUGCCUGCCAGGUUGGACACAUCAGGCCUUUUAGAUCACUUGAACCAGCCAGGGAUUAAACACAGGGAAGGCUCA